rnacentral:rRNA from 1 species
GAUGAACGCUGGCGGCGUGCCUAACACAUGCAAGUCGAACGGAGUCCAGCCUUUAAGACCUUCGGGUCAAAGAGGGGAAGACUGAGUAGCGGACGGGUGAGUAGCACGUGGGCAACCUGGCUCAUAGAGGGGGAUAACAGAGAGAAAUUUCUGCUAAUACCGCAUAAGCACACACUGCCGCAUGGCAGAGGGUGAAAAGAGAAUCGCUAUGAGAUGGACCCGCGUCUGAUUAGCCAGUUGGCAGGGUAAGAGCCUACCAAAGCGACGAUCAGUAGCCGAUCUGAGAGGAUGAACGGCCACAUUGGGACUGAGACACGGCCCAAACUCCUACGGGAGGCAGCAGUGGGGGAUAUUGCACAAUGGGGGGAACCCUGAUGCAGCGACGCCGCGUGAGUGAAGAAGUAUUUCGGUAUGUAAAGCUCUAUCAGCAGGGAAGAUAAUGACAGUACCUGAAUAAGAAGCCCCGGCUAACUACGUG